rnacentral:lncRNA from 1 species
AGGUUGAUGGACUAAAUGUGAACAGAGAUGAAAGUGAUUUAUAUUUGAGUUUCUCAGUCAUUCAUUCCCUCAACCCCUGCAGCCAGUCUCAUCAGCCUGUAAAGCUGGAAGAUAGAACCUCGGACAGCAUGGAUUGGAUACGAAUUCAGACAGAGCUUAUCUCUAUGCUGUUCCCAACAAGGUCAGCAGCUAUUUUACAAGUUCAUCAUGAUUCCAAAAACUAAUGAAAUCACCAGGAAUGUUUUGAGACCUCAGACUUAACAAACUUGAGUCUUUCUCUGGACUUAUCAAACCUGUUGCACAAAGGACAUUUGUGAUAACCACUAUAGAUUGGAACCAUCUGGCCGUGUAAACUUACAGAAUGAUUUCUUCUCCCGAUUAAAGUGAUCUCAAGUCAUAAGGAGCCAAGAACUACUUAGCCUCAAAUGAUUUUUCUUUAGAAGCAUAAAACUAAGGACCUCCUGACUUGGCACAUCAAGUUAUUUAACGAUAAUUAAAAACCCCAUAAUUUUGAUAUCUUCCUUGACUCACCCAUAAAUGGCCCAGGCUGUGCACUCUGAUAGCUGAUCUUUGAUGGGUUUAUUUCCCUGUCUACACGAGGGAAUAUUUUUCUUCUUCAAGUA